rnacentral:lncRNA from 1 species
GCCUGAAGGGUACGUGAGCCUCCACACAUCACUUUACAUCACUCUCUGGUAUCAAUUAUAAAGUCACUGUGGAGGCCAACGUAUCCCUGAGUGGGUCAGGCUCAAUAGUGCGGUUGAGGAAAGAGAGGGAGAGAGGCAGAGGAUUAGAAGGAGGGUGGGGUCAUUUAGGUGGACGUGAGUUUAUUCACAUCCCAUUGAGGGGUAUGAUUUAGGAUGGCUGUGUGAAAGCACGUUCCAACACUACUGUUCCAGUGACUAACAGUGUAGUAUCUUCUCUCUCACAGCUGUAUCUAAGCGUUACACCUUCAGACUCCUUCAGCCUGUCUGGCCUCAGUACCAUGAGAAACCAGUCAGACUCAUGAUCCAGGCUGCCCCCAGCCCUCUCGUUCUCUCUGUUCCACUUCACUCCCCGGUGACAGAUGGAAUGGGGUUGGUGGACUGAGAGACCAUUAUCCCCAGUUACCAUUUACCCAGCAACAGGAUCAACAUAUGACCCAUAUCUCCCGAUUGGUUUUUCCAGCAGGACAAUGCUCCAUGCCACACAGCCAAGUCAAUCAAGGUGUGGAUGAAGGACCACCAGAUCAAGACCCUGUCAUGGCCCGCCCAAUCUCCAGACCUGAACCCCAUUGAAAACCUCUGGAAUGUGAUCAAGAUGGAUGGUCACAACCAUCAAACAAAGCAGAGCUGAUUUAUUUUUUUGUGCCAGGAGUGGCAUAAAGUCACCCAACAUCAAUGUGAAAGACUGGUGGAGAGCAUGCCAAGAUGCAUGAAAGCUGUGAUUGAAAAUCUGAGUUAUUCCAUCAAAUAUUGAUUUCUGAACUCUUCCUAAGUUAAAACAUUGAGUAUUGUGUUUAAAAAUGAAUAUGAACUUAUUUUCUUUGCAUUAUUCGAGGUCUGACAACACUGCAUCUUUUUUGUUAUUUUGACCAGCUGUCAUUUUCUGCAAAUAAAUGCUCUAAAUGACAAUAUUUUUAUUUGGAAUUUGGGAGAUAUUUUGUCAGUAAUUUAUAGAAUGAAACAAAAAUGUUAAUUUUUCCCUAACACAUACAUAUAAAUAGUAAAACCAGAAAAACUGACAAAUUUGCAGUGGUCUCUUAAUUUUUUUCAGAGCUGUAUAUAUGUGCGUCAUGCACAGCAUGACUAUUGACAGUGUAAAAUCAAUCUAACCCUUUUAUUGCAUACACAUCUGAGGUUCCUUAGAAUAAAACAGCAUAUCCAAUUC